CUUAAGUUAAACAACUUGAAUUUGAUCAUGAUCCGCUUCCUCCACUUCAAUCCCGCAUCAAUAGGCGUACCACUCCAUAUCCAAUCUGAAGAGUUAGUCCAAGUACAAAGCAUAACAUUAGUUUUCAAGGCGACUUAAUAAAUCAUUCAUGCCUUUAAUUCAAUUUUAAAAAUGAAUUAUAAAAACCUUUACAACAAUAUAAAAAUAUAAAAAUUAUGAGAAAAUGACUAAAUUAAACUAAAACUUCCAACCCUAGGCCGAUUCUCUUCUCUUCUUCUUCUUCUUGCUAUAUUCGGUUUUUAAAAAAUGAGAAAGGCCAAGUUUUUAUCUUUCUUUCAAUUACAUUGUUUUAUUUUAUACAUUUUACAUUUUAAUUAAUUUAAUUAUAAUUUUAAUAUUAUUUAAUAAAAAAACAUUCCACCCAGCGUCCUUAUAAUGGUCCAUUUUCCAUUUUAGACCUUAGGUUAAUUGCAAUUUAAGUCCUCAAUUCAUUUCUUAAUUAAAAAUCUCUAGCGAAUAGACUUUACAAUUUAAUCCCUAGGCCCUAAUUAAAUGCAAUUUUGGCUAAAUUACUUAGCCAAAAUUCAAUUCACUUAUAUAAUAACUCCGUAAAUAUUUAAUAAAAUAUUUAUGGGCUUAGUUUACGAAAAUGAGGUCCCGAAACUAAAUUUUUCACCACCACUAACUUUCGGGUUGUUACAAAACAUCUCUCCAAUUGGACUUGAUAGACAAUACAUUAGCCUUUCAAUUGGUUCGCUUAUUUCCUAUUAGACUAAGGACAUCUCUAGAUUUAUCUACUAUAAGUUAUAUUUUCGUAUUACGAUCCAACCACGUUGUAGUAGCCAAUUUUGGGCCAGACAAAUAAACAAAAAAUAUAACAAAACCCACAACAAUAAAAAAGAGUCCAAAAUAAACAGCCCAAUAACAAAUACAGCCCAAACUAUCAAUCUAAUGCAAAAAAUAUCAGCAGAACCCUAGGAACGUUCAGCCACUGCCCCACGCCUCUUCGUCUGCUCACACGCUGCUCCAUCAGUCGCCCUCCACAUGUUGUCUGACAUCUGAAACAAGUACAAUAGCAGAGAAAGAAGCAUGCAAGCGCAGAGAAAUAAAUAGCAGAAAAACUAAAAGGGAAUCGAUUGUAAAUGGCUUUAAAAGCCCGGAUCUACUCUCUUGUAAUUUUUUACGUACAUUUUACAAGCAAAAACUAAUCAAAAAAACAGAAUACUCGUUUUAAAGGUGAUUUUUUUUUGUGUAAAGAUUUCUGUCUCUUUAUCUUGUUUUUACUUUUGUUUCUCUUAGUUAUUUUAUUUUAUUUUAUUUCACUUACGAGAAUAAAAGGGAAAUAAAACUUACCGGAAAACCCUCAUGGUCGGUCGUCGGAGACUUCUUUCUCUAUCGGAGUUGAGCCAAAAAGGGGAGGUUGGGAAGUCCCUUUAUUUUCGGGCACUCGACCGAGGGAUUUGGGACCUUUAAAGGCACCACGAACAGAGGCUAGGUAGCCUAUUUCGCUUGUCGUCGGCCACUAAUUGUAAUGGUGGUGUGACAAACCACUGAGGGCGGCGAUGAGGGGUUCAGGACCCUAGCCGAACGAAAGAGAAAAGGGGGUAGGGAGGCUCAGUUCUUUUAAAAAAUAAGCAGCAGAAAUCUGCCUGCAAAAGGAAGAAACCCUUUUGUUUUCUUUAAAAGGUGAAACGACGCAGUGUAAAAGGGGGGGCCAUUUUCAAAGCCCGAAUGGGCUAUUUGCUACUAAGGUCCCUCUAUUGUCUUGCGUGUUUCAAUCAUCCCUUUUGCAUUUUUCUACAUUUAAAAUUAUCCCCGCAAAUUUGCGUGAUUGUUGCUUUGG
rnacentral:lncRNA from 1 species